rnacentral:RNase_P_RNA from 1 species
CAGUCCGGGUAUAUUGGUUUUUUCCGCAUCCCUUACCGGAGGAAAGUCCGAACACCAAAGGGCUGGGUGCUCCAUAACAUGGAGUCACGGUAACGUGAAGGAAAGUGCAACAGAGAGCAGACCGCCCGGUAUUGGAAUCAGCUUUUGAGCUGUUUGUUAUGUCGGGUAAGGGUGAAACGGUGCGGUAAGAGCGCACCAGUUUCCCGGGUGACCGGGAAAGCUAGGUAAACCCCACCCGGUGCAAGACCAAAUAGGGGAGUGCUUGAGGGCGGCCCGUCCGAGCUCCCGGGUAGGUCGCAAGAGAUGACGGGUAACUGUUAUCCGCAGAUGAAUGAUCAUUGUCCGGUUAGAGGUAACUCAAACCGGGAACAGGAUUCGGCUUAUCAAUCGCACUGACCG